rnacentral:misc_RNA from 1 species
GAAACGGACUCCUCUGAUUUGCGUGAAACUUUGCAAUAUUUUAAUCUGCAAAACACAAAUCUAAAAGCAAAAAGUCGCUCUUAAGUGAAAGAAGAGUUAUGAAGUAUUAAAAAGUGAUAGUUCUGAGGUUAGGAAAUUUGUCAUACCGACAAUAUGCAGUAACAUGAAGAUGAUGAGUAGCCAUAUGUGCAUGCUCUGUGGUGAUAUACGCAUGCGAGAAACGCAAAUUUGAAACGCAAGUAUGGCCACGUUUACACUGUACGACCUAAUUGCGACCUGACCUAUGUCAUGGCCUAAGCAGGUUUAGUCCCUAACCGUUUACACCGAAAAAGACCUAAAAAUUGAUGAAGUUGUAUUUAGUCCACUCUGGUCCGGCUUAUCUUAACCUUGAAAAUGGCAUCUACACAAGAUAUUUACACGUUUUUUAUAUUUGAAAAAAAUAGGAGAAAUAUUGUGUACUGGAAAAUUAUGCGGCAAAGAAAAAAAAUGUGGGACAAAAUUCGACAACUACACAGGAUGCAGAGAAUAUUAUAUAUGGAAUAUAUGAGAAUGUUUCCUAUGACCAACAUUUUGGAAAUAUAUUUGGACAUGAUACAGACUGAAAGAAGUUUGUAGAUGAAACCGAAAAGUAAUAAUUUUUGGAAUGAAAUAGUGCUAUGUACGUAUACAGACAGAUAGAGAGUUUUCAAAUGCGCAAGGAAACUUUCAAUGAGUUAUGGUUUUUGUUACAACCUGCUUUGGAGCCUAAGCCUGUUAUGUUAAAGUCAAGAGAACCGUUAUCAGUAGAAAAGAAAGUUGCUGUCGCUUUAUACAAAUUAGCAAGUUGUGUAGAAUAUCGUGUCGUGGGAAAUGUAUUUGGCAUUCACAAAUCAACAGUGAAAAAGUGUCUUUAUAAAGUUGUAAAUGCCAUAAAUGAAUUAAUGAUGAAAGAUUAUUUUCAAAUGCCGAAUACCGAAGCUGCUGAAAUAGCUAUGAAUUUUGAAAAAAUAUCACAUAUCCCACAAAUUAUUGGAUGUAUUGACGGUUCGCACAUAUCCAUUUUGGCUCCUACAGAAGGCUAUCGAGAUUUUGUUAAUCGUAAGGGUUGGCCCUCAUAUAUUUUGCAAGCCGUUGUUGAUGACAAAACAGGUUUAGAAAUAUUUGUAUUCGUCAUCCUGGGAGCACUCAUGAUGCUGCUGUUUUUAAAGAUUCGAGUUUAUAUAAAGAUAUUGAAAAUAUUAUUCCACAGGUUACAAGAAAUAUUAGUGGCUUAGAGAUACCUUACCUAAUUAUCGGUGACCCAGCAUAUCUGCUGUUACCAUGGUUAAUAAAAAGUUAUCCUGGAAGGAACAAUGUAUUCAACACUGGCUGAAUGAUAUGGUUGAAGCGGAAAUAAUACACCCGCAACCUGUUAAUGCUAUACAUCGAGAAGGUGAUGACAUAUCUGGGUCAACUAUUCAAAAACAUUUAACAGAUUAUUUAUGUCAUAAUUAUCCGUCGCGU